rnacentral:lncRNA from 1 species
CAAACUAACAAACAGCUAAUUGAGGGCUCUCCUCCCCCAAACAGCUCGGUGCCUCAGGGCCCCUCGUCUCCUCUUGCGUUCGCCCAGCACCCGGCACAGCGGGACGUGCCGCCUGCUCGCGUUUGUUGGGAAGUUUGCUCCAACCCGCUAUUGCAAACACAUGCACAGCCUGCUGCAACUGGUAGUCUGAGACCAGCCUGCAACACAACGGGGAAGGGCAGAUGGGGAGGAAAAGGCAGGGAGAGCAAUGCCCCCGCAGGAAGGAGCCACUUUCCACUUACUCCUGAUUUGUUUUUUCUUCUUCUCUUUUUUUCCUUUAAUUCCUGGAACAACUCGGGAGCUGGUUGCCUCCUCGUUCACGACUCCAGCGAGCAUCAGUGCGACCAGAGCGGGGAGCAGCGGUUCGGCCACCGUCGUUUCAGACAUGGCAGUCCUAAGAGCAGACGUCCCAGUUCCUUCUCCCCAGUCAGGCCUUUUUGUCACCUCCAGCUCUUCUCACUGCAGCUGAUACUGACCCCGUGCAAGGACCCCGAAGCCCUGCCGGAUCAGCAGAGAGUCUCCAGUGAGCAAGGGCAGAGCUCGCACGAUGUCGCGGACAGGGCAGGCUGCUACCUGCAGCAUUUCGUUUUCUUGGCGAAGGUGCCGUGGUGCAAUUUCCCAGGGGCCACCCAAACGCGGGCUCUCUCCAGCGUUGCAGGCUUGCUGGGCUUGCUGUGGGAUAACUUCAGCCCACGCUCUGAAGGCGGAGGUUGCGUGCCCUGCUGCCCUCCGGCAGCAGCAGGGUACGGAGCUAUCCUUGUGCUUGGCCCCCGGCCGGCAGAGCUGAAAGGGGCUUUAUGUCUUGCAGCUGUGAGCACUGGGCUGCAGCUGCCCUUUGCUCACGAGGCUGUAGUACUCUGGCUUUUCCCCUCCAGCUUAAACAGCGUAAACCCAUCCGGGGAACCUCCCGAGGAGAAACUGGGGCCACCAGCACAAGCAGUAGCCAAGCUAAACGGGGCCAUGCUGGGUCACGGAGCUGGUGAACAGCCGCG